GACAGCAGCCGCCGCGGGAAUACGUAGGGUGCAAGCGUUAAUCGGAAUUACUGGGCGUAAAGCGUGCGCAGGCGGUUCGUUAAGACAGAUGUGAAAUCCCCGGGCUUAACCUGGGAACUGCAUUUGUGACUGGCGGGCUAGAGUAUGGCAGAGGGGGGUAGAAUUCCACGUGUAGCAGUGAAAUGCGUAGAGAUGUGGAGGAAUACCGAUGGCGAAGGCAGCCCCCUGGGCCAAUACUGACGCUCAUGCACGAAAGCGUGGGGAGCAAACAGGAUUAGAUACCCCGGUAGUCCCUGUCUCUUAUAC
rnacentral:rRNA from 1 species